UACGUAGGUGGCAAGCGUUGUCCGGAAUUAUUGGGCGUAAAGCGCGCGCAGGCGGUCUUUUAAGUCUGAUGUGAAAGCCCACGGCUCAACCGUGGAAGGUCAUUGGAAACUGGAAGACUUGAGUGCAGAAGAGAAGAGCGGAAUUCCACGUGUAGCGGUGAAAUGCGUAGAGAUGUGGAGGAACACCAGUGGCGAAGGCGGCCUGCUGGGCAGUUUAGCUGACACUGAGGCGCGACAGCGUGGGGAGCAAACAGG
rnacentral:rRNA from 1 species